UGGCUCGUGAUGAAUGCCAGGCACGUAGACAGUUUGUGAACUGAGAGGUGGUAUCAGGUAGCGCGUCUGAGGAACACGAGAACGGGAUACCAACCCCAGCUAGUAAGCAGUCAUUUCAGCUUACUUACUUUGGUAGGAUAUACAAGUCUUAUCGACACAGUCUUUUGAAAUACCAACUCACUUAUAAAAAUUAGUAGCGAUAACAUUUGCGAUGACCUGAUGAUGACCGGAAACGCACUGAAUUAAUCGGCUCAAGACUGCACAACAGACUAUCUUCACUGUGCUCACAGCGGGGAUUGACUCCAGAUUUUAACGUUAUAAGCUGAGCCAAUAAGGGGCACAUACAUAUGUGGUAAAACUCAGUGAUGAAAAUAAUCAAGUCCGGUACUGUAUACCGGUAGCGUCGGCACGCUGUACCGGCAACCCACUUAUGAACGUCACGUGUUAAUAUGACGGUAUUGUUGGAUGUGACGUUACAUUCAGAUCCCACCCCCUAUCAGGGUUGUCAGAACUAGAACAUUGUGCAUCACGACCUGAAUGUAAGACGGCCCCCCUCCGGCUCUAUAGGGACAUUAACAUUCACGCCUUCUUCAUUUGUAAGUUUUAAUCGUAUUGUAGGAUCAGCUUCUCAUUCAUAAGUCUGUGGGUCAGGAGGGGGAGGGGGUGUUUGAGUUUCUCCAAGUUUAUUACCAGGGUUCAUCGUUUUAUGAAGCCUGAAAUUUGUAUCAGAUAGCAGGGAAGCCACUGAGUGUAAAAAAAACAACAACAAAAGUUUCGCUAUAGUGUUUAACAUAGAUAAGUUUUGGUUUUAGCGGGCGAUUAUUCAUCUUCUGACUGAAGAAUUAAAUAAAUUAUGUUGAUCUUUAGGUAGACACGGGGGGAGGGGUUCUGAUUUUCCUUUUAGACAGCAGCCCCCCUCCCAAUCUCUUGAAUUUCAUUCUCCAUAAUGCAUCACGGCUCAAUUGAUGUUGGAUUUUUAUUUAGGCUACAACCUAUUCGUUUAGUUCUUGAUACCCGGACUAUGAACCCGAGGAUUCAUGGUUCGCAAUUAGUUGGUGCAGAAACACGAUACGAACAUUGGUGUCUUGGGUGAGCUGUAAGAGAGACGACCAAAUCUCUCUAGUCGAUCAGAAAAGAGUAGCCCAAGAGUUGGCGGUAGGUGCUGUUUCAUAGCUGCCUAUCUGCUAGUCUAUCAGCUCAGAAUUAGUGAGGCUUAUGUACAGAUAGAUCUUAUGUGGCUUUGUGCAAAAUUCUGAAAAAACAACACAAGUUUAGCCUUGAACAUAAAUAAUUAGCUUUUUGUUAUAUACAUUGUUAGUAGACACGCCAAAUAAAUCAAAUAUCAUCACCAGUUCGCACAUUGUUAGCAGACACGCAAAUUAAAUAUCACCACCAGUUCGUACAUUGUUAGCAGACACGCUAAUUAAAUAUCAUCACCAGUUCGUACAUUGUUAGCAGACACGCUAAAUAAAUCAAAUAUCACCAGUUCGUACAUUGUUAGCUGACACGCUAAUUAAAUAUCACCACCAGUUCGUAUAUUGUUAGUUGACACGCUAAUUAAAUAUCACCACCAGUUCGUACAUUGUUAGUUGACACCCUAAUUAAAUAUCAUCACCAGUUCGUAUAUUAGUAGAUGACACGCUAAUUGAAUAUCACCACCAGUUCGUACAUUGUUAGUGGACACGCUAAUUAAAUAUCAUCACCAGUUCGUACAUUGCUAGUUGACACGCUAAUUAAAUAUCACCACCAGUUCGUACAUUGUUAGUAGACACACUAAUUAAAUAUCAUCACCAGUUCGUACGUUGUUAGCAGACACGCUAAUUAAAUAUCACCACCAGUUCGUACAUUGUUAGUGGACACACUAAUUAAAUAUCACUACCAGUUCGUACAUUGUUAGUGGACACGCUAGCUAAAUAUCACCACCAGUUCGUACAUUGUUAGUGGACACGCUAGCUAAAUAUCAUCACCAGUUCGUACAUUGUUAGCAGACACGCUAAUUAAAUAUCACCACCAGUUCGUACAUUGUUAGUGGACAUGCUAAUUAAAUAUCACCACCAGUUCGUACAUUGUUAGUGGACACGCUAAUUAAAUAUCACCACCAGUUCGUACAUUGUUAGUGGACACGCUAGCUAAAUAUCAUCACCAGUUCGUACAUUGUUAGUGGACACGCCAGUUAAAUGAGAAGUUAACUCCCUCAAUAUGGUCAGUAAUUCUUUACAUAAGAUUAAUACUUUUUAUACAUGACUUAUUAUUGUAUAAUUAUUGUUGAUAUAUUGCCAGUAGUUUGUAAGCUCUGAUUUAAAAGAUCUGCCUUACGAUGAUUAGUUGUGAAAAUGUUAAGAUAAUCCUCAUAUUUCUGUAUACCUUUUGUUUAUUUGUACUUAAGCACAAAGCUACACUAUGGACUAUCUGUGCUCUUCCCACCACGGGUAU